UACGAAGGGGGCUAGCGUUGCUCGGAAUCACUGGGCGUAAAGCGCACGUAGGCGGCUUUUUAAGUCAGGGGUGAAAUCCUGGAGCUCAACUCCAGAACUGCCUUUGAUACUGGGAAGCUUGAGUCCGGAAGAGGUGAGUGGAACUCCGAGUGUAGAGGUGAAAUUCGUAGAUAUUCGGAAGAACACCAGUGGCGAAGGCGACACACUGGCCCAUUACUGACGCUGAGGCUCGAAAGCGUGGGGAGCAAACAGG
rnacentral:rRNA from 1 species